GACGAACGCUGGCGGCGUGCUUAACACAUGCAAGUCGAACGGGAGUAUUGAAGAAGCUUGCUUUAGAGAUACUUUAGUGGCGGACGGGUGAGUAACGCGUGAGGAGCUGUCCUAUGCAGGGGGACAACAGCUGGAAACGGCUGCUAAUACCCCAUAAGCCGAGAGGUAAAAGGAUCAAUCCGGCAGAGGAGGUACUCGCGUCCUAUCAGCUAGUAGGUGAGGUAACGGCUCACCUAGGCGAAGACGGGUAGCCGGCCUGAGAGGGCGAACGGCCACACUGGAACUGAGAUACGGUCCAGACUCCUACGGGAGGCAGCAGUGGGGAAUAUUGGGCAAUGGGGGAAACCCUGACCCAGCGACGCCGCGUGGGUGAAGAAAUCCUUCGGGAUGUAAAGCCUGUUGUAUGGGAAGAGCGGAAGACGGUACCAUACGAGGAAGCCCCGGCAAACUACGUG
rnacentral:rRNA from 1 species